GUGAGGGCCCUCUGGGUCCAACCUCCCACCCCGUGUUUAUCAUACCUAGUUGCUUCGGCGGGCCCGCCGUCAUGGCCGCCGGGGGGCACCCGCCCCCGGGCCCGCGCCCGCCGAAGCCCCCCUGAACGCUGUCUGAAGAUUGCAGUCUGAGCGAUUAGCUAAAUCAGUUAAAACUUUCAACAACGGAUCUCUUGGUUCCGGCAUCGAUGAAGAACGCAGCGAAAUGCGAUAAGUAAUGUGAAUUGCAGAAUUCAGUGAAUCAUCGAGUCUUUGAACGCACAUUGCGCCCCCUGGUAUUCCGGGGGGCAUGCCUGUCCGAGCGUCAUUGCUGCCCUCAAGCACGGCUUGUGUGUUGGGCCCCCGCCCCCCGGCUCCCGGGGGGCGGGCCCGAAAGGCAGCGGCGGCACCGCGUCCGGUCCUCGAGCGUAUGGGGCUUCGUCACCCGCUCUGUAGGCCCGGCCGGCGCCCGCCGGCGACCCCCCUCAAUCUUCUCAGGUAACCUCGGAUC
rnacentral:misc_RNA from 1 species